GUGAGUCAUCGAAUCUUUGAACGCAUAUUGCGCCUUCCGGUAUUCCGGGAGGCAUGCCUGUUUGAGCGUCAGUUUUUUACUCACAACAUCUGCAGUUUUGUGGAUAUGUGGUUGUGAACCGAGGGCUUUGAAAGCCAAUGCCCUGGUUUGAAAAGGAUUGCCAUCUUGCUAGCAAGUGGAUAUUAGUGAAAUAGGUUCAUCCAACUCUACUAAUAUUAUUCAACAUUAAUGCCAAGCAUAGCGGCCUUUAUUUUACUGUUUGUUCAAUCUAAUUGAUCAGCAGAAAAACUCUGACUUUUG
rnacentral:misc_RNA from 1 species